GACGAACGCUGGCGGCGUGCUUAACACAUGCAAGUCGUACGGUAAGGCCCUUUCGGGGGUACACGAGUGGCGAACGGGUGAGUAACACGUGAGUAACCUGCCCACAACUUUGGGAUAACGCUAGGAAACUGGUGCUAAUACUGGAUAUGUGCUCCUGCUGCAUGGUGGGGGUUGGAAAGCUCCGGCGGUUGUGGAUGGACUCGCGGCCUAUCAGCUUGUUGGUGGGGUAGUGGCCUACCAAGGCGGCGACGGGUAGCCGGCCUGAGAGGGUGACCGGCCACAUUGGGACUGAGAUACGGCCCAGACUCCGACGGGAGGCAGCAGUGGGGAAUAUUGCACAAUGGGCGCAAGCCUGAUGCAGCAACGCCGCGUGCGGGAUGACGGACUUCGGGUUGUAAACCGCUUUCAGCAGGGACGAAGCUUUUUGUGACGGUACCUGCAGAAGAAGCACCGGCUAACUACGUG
rnacentral:rRNA from 1 species